GGAGGGACCGUCAAAACAAUGAGGAAGCCAAGGCUACAGGUCCUGUCAUUUAGACCAUUUCUACAAAAGAGUCUCUUAGGAUCUUGUGAAUGGCACCACUAUGCAUCAAGUUUCCAAGCAGAAGAUUGAGAGUCAUCCUUAAUACCAACUUCCUUCUACUUAAAGUAUCAAAUCUCCUCUAAAAGUUUCCUGAUUUCCCUUUGCAGGAAUUCUGUACUUCUAACCCUGACUAGUGGCAAUCACCAGUGUGUUCUCCUACCUAUUGUUUACCGUUUUUAGAAUGCCAUAUAAAUGGAAUUAUAUAAUACAUAAGCUUUUGGAUCUGGCUCCCUUCAGUUAUCAGUUAUCAUAGUAUUUCCUUCAGUUUCAUUGAAAUCCUUGUAUGUAUCAGUAGUUUGUUCUCUCUCUCUCUCUCUCUCUCUCUCUCUCUCUCUCUCUCUCUCUCUCUCUCUCUCUCUGUCUCUCUCACUGAGAAGUAUUCUACUCUCUCUCUCUCUUGCUGAGUAGUAUUCUGCAGUUUGGAUGCAACACAAUUUAUUCUUUCAUCAGUUGAUGGGCAUUUGAAAUGUUUCCAGUUUAAGGCUAUUGUGAAUAAAGUUGCUGCGAGCAUUCA
rnacentral:lncRNA from 13 species